GGAGCCGAUUGAGUAAGGAACAUGGCGGUUCAUUGGCAAGAUAGAGUGACAUGCUCGUGAGUGAAACUGCACAGACUUCUUACACACUUUUGAAUGGGCUAAUCCAUCAUCUUGUACACCGCUAUCUGAAACUUAGACUGUGACACUCUGAUUGUUAUGAUUGAGUUUAAUACGUAUAAAUCCAUUACAACACCUGUAAGUUAAGUUGAGGUACAGACUAUAGGUGUGUGACAGUGUGUCUCAGUAGUAGCUUUAGUGGAUUGGGCCAAGGGAAAUUCAGACAAACUGCCUUGGUAAACAGAAUUUAUAAGUAACUAGUUGAGUCAGAUGUGUAUCUCAAACACCUUGUGAAACUAGCAACGAUGAG
rnacentral:rRNA from 1 species